AUUUUGGCUAUUCGAUCGCAACGCAUACGGUGGGCGAAUACAAUUGGCCGAAUAAUACUAAAUGGUAAGCAAUUUGAAAAAUUACUCACAUUUUUGGAAAGGAAUUUUGGGAACAUAUUUUAUGUAAGUCUAUUCUGUAAGUUAUGCAAGUCUAAGUUUACUGUUAAAGAUAUAUAAUUUAUAUAGUUAUUUUGUGAUAGAUAUGAUCUAAAAUUGAUCGUCAUUCAGUAGUCAGUGAUUCUAAUCUCUAGAUAAACAAAUGGCCCGCUGAGAACCAGAAAGCAUAAUGGAUGGUGACUUUAGGUUUUACUUCCAAAUUGUUUUAAACGGAAAAAAAUGAUUAUGCAAUGGAUGAAUAGAGAAAGCUCACUUCCGUUAAGCCCUUAUUUAAGAGUGGCAAUAAAAAUGACGUUAAAAAUUAUAGGCCUAUUUUAAAGUUAUCAACUAUUUCCAAAAUUUUUGAGUUCGUGGCCGAUACGAGGGGUGCCUUUUAUAUAUCGGGAUUAGAGAACAAAAACAAAUUUUAAUCAUCGAAAAUCACUUUAUUGUUUUUCAAAAUAUUCUCCAUGAAGAUCUAUACACUUUUGCAUGCGUUUGAACCAAUUGUCGAAGCACUUUUGCCACUCUGAAUGAGGUAUCUCCGCAACCGCUUCUUCAGGUGUAGAAAAACGUUGACCUCUCAGUUUGUUUUUUACGUACGGGAAUAAAAAGAAGUCAUUCGGUGCCAAGUCAGGACUAUACGGCGGAUGACCCAUUAAUUCGAUGUUUUGGGUGCUCAAAAAUGCAGUUGUUUGAGCCGAUGUGUGAGAGCUCGCAUUGUCCUGGUGAAGAGUGAUCCGUCUUUGGCGAUUGGUUUUCCUAAUUUCUUGGAAGACAACUGGCAAACAAAUGGUUGUGUAACCACUCAUAAUUUACUGUUCUGCGUUGUUCUAGUGGUACGGUUGCGACAUGUCCAGUUUUUCCGAAAAAACAGGCGACCAUUUGCUUGGAAGUGCUUCGUGCGCGAACAACUUUUGUUGGAUUUGGCUCAUCUUGAAGCACCCAUACAGUCGACUGCUGUUUACUUUCGGGCUCAUGCGCGUAAAUCCAUGAUUCAUCACCUGUCACGAUGUCAUACACGUGUUUUGAAGCCCCGCGAUCGUAUUUUUUGAGCAUUUCCUUCGACCAAUCGACACGAGCCUUUUUUUGAGCGAUUGACAAAUUGUGUGGGAUCCAACGCGAACAAAUUUUUUUGACAGUCAAAUGUUUAUGGAAUAUUGAAUGUAUGCUGGUCCCACUAAUGCCUAAGAUUGUCUCAAUCUCACGAUAGGUCGCAUGACGAUCUUGCAAUAUCAGUUCGCGCACAGCAUCAAUGGUUUUCGGAACAACAACUGAUUUUGGACGACCUUUACGAAAUUCGUCUUGGAGUGAACUACGACUACGAUUGAAUUCACCAUACCAUCGAUAAACACUGGUCCUUGAUGGAGCUUCAUCGCCAAAAAAUGAAUUAAGUUCAUCCAUGCAAUGUUGCUGAGUUAAUCCACGUCGAAAGUUGUAAAAAAUAAUCGCACGAAAAUGUUCACGAUUUAAUUCCAUUUUUGGACCGAGAUGAAUCUUUUAAGUUACUGUAAACAACACAAAUAGCGCUGGUAUUUCAAAACGUUCUGAGUGCGUAAAAGCCAAAAAAUGUCAAACUUUGCGAUACAGCUGUCAGUUGCCAGAUUGCAACACCAAAUCCCGAAAUAUAAAAGGCACCCCUCGUACAAAACCGGGCUGUGCGGUUAAAUCUUUAAUUUAACCAAAUCAGCAUGGGUUUGCUGUCAAUAGAUCUACAAUAUAAUCUAGCUGCUAGUGAAUACUGCAUUCAUUCUUUCUCGGCUGGUUCCAGAUUAACUGUAUUUGCACUGUCUUUUCGAAAGUUCCUCCCAGACAAAAUUUCUCCUAGAAUCUUUAUUUAAAAAUAAGCUCAUUUUGGAUCUCAUUCUGCCUUUCUGCAAUGGAUAAACACUUAUUUGUGCAAUAAACGUGUACCGAUGGUAUGUCAUCUACUCCCUUUGUUGCCACCUCUGGUGUUCCACAAGGAAAUAUUUUCAGACCGCUCUUAUUUGUGUUAUUUGUGUCCUAAAUUAUUGCUUUGUGAUGAUGACUUUAUUAUCUUAUCAGUGAUCAAGACUCAAGAAGCUGCGAUCAAUCUUCAAGGCAAUAUGGAUAAGCUUUGUUAUUAUUAUUCAAAUAUUUUACUUCAAAACAUCUAGCAUUGUGUGCACUAAGUACACAAUCUUGGUUUUUUAUGGAGGAGGGGAAGCAUCAAAAGCCUAUGGCUGAAGCCGUGGUGUGGGCCUUGAACUUAACUAAACCCCUCUCAUGCCCUACGGUAUGUCCUCCCGGAAUUGCACCGUUAUAUAGUACAUCAGGAGGCCGUUCUGAAUAUAUGUACAGGGUUUGAUUGAAAAGUAAUGAGCGUUAUUUUUUUCUAAGCAGUUUUAUGAAACCUUUUGACUUAUACAACUAAUAUUCUUCAAAAUAUGACCCGUGAGCGUCAAUACACCGCUGAUAGCGAUUCUUCCGCUGCAGGCAACAUUUUUUAAACUCAACCGCCGGAUUCGCGUUCAAUUCGGCUGUCACAGUUUUUUGGAUCGCCUGUCUCGAUCACUGUUCGUCUUCGACGUCCUCUCGGCCUUCCUUGAACGACUUGUGUCACCAUUUUACCUGGGCACUGGACAGAGAUUGGUCACCGUAAGCCUCCUUGAGUAGCCCAAUGGUUUCGGUACUCGUUUUAUUUAGCUUUACGAAAAAUUUGAUAGAGUAACGUUGUUCCAACGAUCGCUGCAUUUUCGCCACUGCAAAAUCCUAACACACUUUUAAAACAGCUUUCACGCGCGGAGCGAUGUUGACUGCACCGCUGUUGCCAGCGAACUGGGACCGAUUUCUAGUGGAAGCGGAAGGUCCAACGAUCAUUUUCCACCAGCCGAUUCGGUUGAUCGCUUAGCAGACGCUCCGUGCGGGAAGGCUCAUGACUUUUCUAUCAAACCCUGUAUUAUUACGCAAUCGUCUGUUAUUGUAAUUCUUUUCGGUUAAGGAGCUCUUUCUAGCAAUCUACGAGCAUAUGCCGCGUAUUGAAGGUUCUUCAUGAAAUUUGUGGGUACUGCACAUGCCAUUUAACUUUUUCCCCCGUUUUGCUACUUAUAUGGGAUAAGAUUUAACUCAUUUAUGUUUUCACCAAACGCUCUCUCAAUAAUACAAGAAUUUCGCUGACUAAUGAACCGCGGGCAUUGAAACAAGAUAUAGCUCGCCGUUUUUUGUUCCUCGGGCCACUGCGGGCAGUAUGGGUCGCUCUAAAGAUGAAACCUGUGUAGUUUUUAAGCAACCAUGUCCACUAAGAAACUGCGUGAUACAAAUCUCGAUUUCUCCGUAUUUUUUCUGAAUCCCCCUCACAAUUUUUGGAAUCAGUUCAAAGGUCUACCUACCUUUCUCGGAUUGCUUCCACCGUAUCUGCUAUUAUUCAAUUGUUCGCAGCCUUUCUUUUUAUUUAGCCACGUUCGAAGGUUUCUGCCCAAUAGUGUUAUGUAACCUAUACAUCUCAACCGCGAGAAGGUCGAUAGACACCAUGGAUUGCGUCAUCUGAGACAGUGCGAUAGACACUGACCACUUUCAAGGCGCCAAGUCUAUAUGUGGCUCGUAUGUGUUGGAGGUGCGAUGGCUUCGUGUUUGACAGGAUUGGUGCUGCAUACAGAAUCACUGAGCUUGUCACUGUUAAUAGGAGUUUCCGUAUACUUGCGCGAGGGCUGCCAAUACAACGCAUUAGUUUAGAUAAUGCGUCAGUUAUUCUUACGGCUUUUUCACUGACUGACUUUAAAUGAUGAUUAAAAGUAAUUUUCGAGUCAAUGAGUACUCCCACGUAUCUGAUAUAUGCGACCUUAUGUCAUGGUCAGUUAGCGUAAUGAUUAACUCUUCACAUACCCGUCGUGUUGUCAGUUUUUUGAGCUGCAAGCUCUAACUUCACAUUUUCAAGCCAUCUUCUGAUUUUUACAAUUGCAUAGGUGCUCAAGCUUAAGAAUACCGUCAUACAUAGCAUUCCAAAGUGUUGGGCCAAGCACCGAGCCUUGUGGGAUACCGCCAGUUACUCUGUAUGUCUCUAUGCCGUUAUACCUAAGUAUCAUAAAGCAAGAGACUGUUAUCAACUGCUAUGAUUUGUGGCAGGUAUUUCGGCAGCGCGAAACCUCUCAGUGCACGCAUAAUCUGGAGCCAGCUUGCGGAGUUGAACGCAUUUUUUAUGUCUAAGGUAACAACAGCGCAGUAUAGACUCAAAUAAAUAAAGAAAUAAAUAUUAUAUAUAUAUUUUAUAAAGAAAACAAAAUAUAAUCAAAAUUAGUAAAGCUUCACCUUCAUCAUUGCCCAGCGUGAUUGUUAGUGACGUUCCGCAUUCGGUUUGGCAUAGAAGUGAUUCCAUUUCAAGUGUUAGUCAAGUUUUAGUUAUAGUCUUAAGUAUAAUACGGAGUAUCGUUAAAAAUUUGGAGAAAAUUGAAUUAUUUUGAGAUUUAUUCAAAGUUGAAAAUUUUGGUAUAGAGUUUUUUAAAUAUAAAAAAUAUUUUCGGUUCACUUUGAAAUUUUAAUUUUAAUUUUUUAGGACGAAAUAUGUUUUCAAAUUUUUUUUUUUUUUAUUAAAUUUUUUGAUUCAAAAUUUUUGUGGAAAAUAUUUUUCUUUGUAAUUUUUGAAAACCGCCGCCCUUCAGUUGUUUGCUUUUAUAUUUGAAUAGCUGAAACUAUGCUAGCCGCUGAAAGCUUCGUAGUGGAACUCCAAAAUUUUCCGAAUUAUAUUCAAGUGCGUACAGCGAACCAGUGAGAAGUACCGUGGAUGUGCUUAGACGGUGUUCAUACAGCGCAAAUUUUGUUGCUUCAACUCGUAGCUUGUGGAAGGGUAGGAGACUUGAAAAGGAGAGGGGCGCCGAGACCGGUCGAAGUGCUUUGUGUUGUUGUUCUUCCCAAUAUUUCUUUUGGCUGCAUACUAAAAACUGAAACAAUUUUAUGCAACGGAGUUACCGUCUGUGAACUCGACGGAUAAUGCAAAAAGAGAAUUCGCAAAAGUUUCCCUCUAUGAACACGGCCUUACGAGUACUAAUGUUCGUAGCGAUACUUCGAACAAUUUGACUUCGAUCAAAAUGAGCGUAAUAUGUGAAUAUGCUAGCGCUUUGCUCGAGUGGUAUUUUGCUUAGAUUUUUCACUCUUUCGCUGAAAUUUCGUUUGAUCUUGAACGACUAGGAAGCUCUUCCCUGCUUCUCUUCGUUGUACGAAAGACGUUUUCACAGCCGAGGAAAAGAUGAUGAAUGUCGAUUUGUUUUUUUAAGGUCUUCUUAGGUAUAUGAAAUUAUGGAAAAACUGGGACUAUAGUGGAUUUGGCAAGACUAAACUCCCUUUGAUAAGGUCCACAAAAUGAUUGAAAGCUUUACGGCUUCACGUCGGAACAGAUUACAGAAAUUAUCGAUUAAAAAAGUACAAAUUCUACAUGUGGGAGUCGACUAAAAAUAUUUGUAUGUAUAAAACACAAAUGCUUCGCUUUACUAUUUUGAGCUAGAAAAUGUUUGAUUUCUUAUCUGAUUAAUAAUGUUACAAAGUACAAUAUAACACCUACGUUGUGCUUAAUAAAUAAUUCAAAUAUUUACAUUUUCAAAAUAUCUCCUUGUUUGUAUAGACUCUUCUAUUCACAUCUGGUAUUAAUUUGGCUACUCGUUGUUUCAUCUUCCGCAAAUUAGCUGAGCAGAUAAAUUUUGUCACUAAAAUACACCAAAAAUGCGAGAUAGUCAACAUUGAGCGACAAAACGUUGCUGCUAACAAAAACAAAACCAUCAAAAUAUUGUUACGCUGUGUUUAGGCGCAGCCUUCUGACACCGACCAAACUAAACACCAAUUAAACAGCCAAGCGAGUCCCCAACUAGUCUGCGAGUCACAAACAACGCAUGGCGAGCUCAUUAGUAAUUCAUCCGGCACAUAAUAAAGAAUACAGAAUAUUCUGCUUUUGGUGGUGUGUGCCCUUCGCAGUUUAGAGUCAUAAUUAAAAUUUAUGGGUGUGUUAAUGAAAAUUUUCAUUUAAAUUUAUGCGGAAAUCUGAGGGUAUUGCAGAAAGGGAAUUUUUAAAGCAAACAAUCGAAACGAUAGUCCAUUUAAAUACAACAACAAUGCGCCCACAUAGCUUUGCAUGAGCUCAUUGUUCUUGUUGUGAUGAGCUGAUGAGCUGAUAAGCAUUUAAUUGCAUAUUUAAUGGCGCCUAAACUGCAAAGGCCUGGGUGGAAGUUUUACUUUUGCCAAUUUAAAGCAGUUAUGGCGAUUACAAGUAGUUAAUUGCCUCCAAGUGACGAUUACGUGCGCUUGUGGGAAAGUUUUGUAGUAGUUUUUUUGUUCGCAUGCGAAGUUCUUGAUUUUGUAAAGAGCUUUUU